CCAUACCAGCCGGGGAGUUAGCGGUGCCCUGUACCCGAAAUCCGCUAAAGCGGGGGUGCAUCCCCCGAACGAGGGCUGAACCGACGCGGUCCGAGACGCCGAACGUGUGUUGAGGAGCGGGUCCUGCGCAAUCCGGGGCUGUGAACCAUGUCAGGUGGGGAACCAAGCAGCAUUAAGCAGUUUACCGGAUGUGCCGCAGGGAUGCCUGUUCUGAGCACGGGCGGUGAGUAACGCGCGGCGGCGAUGUUCGACUUUGGGGUGUAUGG
rfam:Anaerotruncus sp. CAG:390 genomic scaffold, scf213